rnacentral:lncRNA from 1 species
UUUCUUAUAAAAAAUAAAUAAUUUUAGAAAAUAUAAAAUUAGAUUAUAUUUAUGAAAAAUAGAUGUCAAGUUAAUUGAAUAAUUUAAGCAUCAAAAUAAUAAAAAAUUAAUGAACAAUUUAAUACAUAUUUUUUUUAAUUUUUUAGGUACAAAAUCAGAGCAAAAAUCAAGCCAAAAUAUCUCAAAAAAUAUUUAAAAUAGCUU